ACGCUUUGAUGCUUUUCUCUUUGAUAAGCUGGACAGGGCCUGAUGUCCAACAAAACAUUCUCCGAAUCUUCUAUGCCUUGUGCCAGUCCCCCUCAGCGUCAAACAUCAAGACCAAAUUGACUGAGUGCUCAGCUGUGCAAGUAUUGGCUCAGUUAUGUGAGCAAGAGAAUCAAAAUGUACGAGCAAAUGCUGUUAAGCUGUUCUGCUGCUUGGUAGAAGGUGGUGAUGAAGCCAC
rnacentral:misc_RNA from 1 species